GGCCUCUUGGUGUUUACCACAGACUGUUCUUACACUGACUGUAUUCAGAGAGGAGGCAAAGUAAACCUCCCCCAUAUAUACCUCAGCCCAGGCCCUGUGUCUAGUCUGUAUUGUGAAUGGGGAGACGUGG
rnacentral:snoRNA from 1 species